AAUUAAUGUUAGUCACUGUUGUCUUUUUUGUUUUUGUUUUUUUUUUUUUUUUUUGAGGCGGAGUCUCGCUCUUUCGCCCAGGCCGGACUGCAGUGGCGCUAUCUCGGCUCACUGCAAGCUCCGCCUCCCGGGUUGACGCCAUUCUCCUGCCUCAGCCUCCUGAGUAGUUGGGAUUACAGGCGCCCGCCACCGCGCCUGGCUAAUUUUUUGUAUGUUUAGUAGAGACGGGGUUUCACCGUGUUAGCCAAGAUGGUCUCGAUCUCCUGACCUCGUGAUCCGCCUGCCUCGGCCUCCGGCCUCCCAAAGUGCUGGGAUUACAGGCGUGAGCCACCGCGCCCGGCCCUCACUGUUGUCUUUUAAGUAGUGAAACAGGAAUGUCUCUCUGAUCAGAAAGCACAAUUAAGAUUCUGCAGAAAAGGAAAUCCAGCUCGGUGCCACCAAUCUGUACUAGGAAUGAAGAUUUGUUACCUGUCCUGCUGACGUCAGACCCAGCACCAGGUGCAGAAGCAACCAUCAUACAAAAAUCAAGCUUCCUUAAUUAUCCUCUGAAGAGUCCCUACCAGCAAGAAGGCUCUCACCAGACGUGGCCCUUUGACCUUGGAUUUCUCAGCCUUCAAAACUGGUCUCAGAUCUACAACACCUGAACACCUCCCCUGAGGAAGCCUCAAGUUCAGUGCUAGCUCUGCAGUCAACAUCAACCUAAAAUAUUACUACAGACAGAAAUCGUUCUGGAUCAAAAUUCUGAUCUUCUUUCCACUUUUUCAGACUCAUCAGAAGAGGUGUCUAAGAAGAUGCACAAAAAAAUUUGCAAGUGGACCAUUAUUGCCUGAGGGUCUAAAGUUUUACCAGAUUCUUUUUACAAUGAAGUAUAUAUAGUGUACAUGCUUGGGGAAAAUGCUGGGUCUUAAACCCAACCUCUAUUAACACGAUUAUUGCUCAUUAAUCAUGGCUGAAAAAUCUGGCAUCAAGAAUCACCGAGAUCCUAGCUACUCAAAGUGUAAUCCCUGGAUCAACAGCAUCAGCAGCAUCUGAGAGCUUGUUGGAGAUGCAGAAUCUCAGGCAGACCUACUGAACCAAAAAAAAAAAAAAAAUCUCAUUUUAACAAGACCCACAGGGGAUUGAAAUUUUCCUUCCACAUUUGAGAAGCACUGCUCUAGAUCCUCUCUCUUGAGGAGGUCAUUUACGUCAGGUUCUAUUCUUAAUAGGAAACAGGUUGAGAAAUAAAAACCUCAACAGGGCUACAAAUACGAACCCAGAAAAUGUGAAGUUUUUAGUGAAUGUUGAAAACAAGGCAGCAAAAUGGCUGUUUAUUAAACCUAAUAUAUUCUGUACUGAGAUCAAAAGGCAGGUGUUACAAGGACCAUAGCUCUAAUUAUGAAGUUGGCUAUUUCAACACGACCAGCCACUGAACACUACACGCUUCCCCUUCGUGCUUUUAGUCUUUCCCAUAAAUGCCACAUGGUUCUUUUGGCAGAAUUAGCUCCCAGAUUUGCAGUGGGAAUUAGACAAGAACAUUUUCUCCUUCCUUUCCUUUGAGAUGCAGGGAUGGGGGCUAGAGCAGGCAGCAGGGAGCACUUCUGAGGCCAGGAGUAAGCAAAACUAAAACCAGAGAAGGGGUGCCAAGAUAUGAAUGCCAGAGGGAACAUAAGGGCACAAAACUGCAAGAGGGGGAAGGAGGGUGACACAUUGCCAGGUGCCUGGGACCAGAGACGCACCAAGUGGUAGGGUCUUUUUAAAAUUUUAUUUCUUAGAAUGUAUUUUUAAUUAACAAAUAAAACUUAUAUUUAUGGUAUCUAACAUGAUGUUUUGGAAUAGGUAGACACUGUGCAAUGGCUAAAUCCAGCUAAUUAACAUAUGCAUUGCCUCACAUUUUUAUUUUUUUGUGCUGAGAACACUUAAAAUCUACUCUUAGCGAUUUUCAAGAACAUAAUACAUUGUUAUUAAUUAUAGUCACUGUGUUGUACAAUAGAUCUCUUGAAUUUAUUCACCCUGUCUAAGUGAAAUUUUGUAUCCUUUGACCACCCCUCUCCCAGUGCCCAGGCAACCAGCAUUCCGCUGUCUGCUUCCAUGUGUUACACUUUUUUAGCUUCCAUGUAUAUGAGUGAGAUCAUGUGGGAUUUGCCUUUCUGUUUUUGGCUUAUUUCACUUAGCAAAUGUCCUCCAGGUUCACGCAUGUUGUCACAAAUGACAGAACUUCUUCUCUUUUUAAGGCUGAGUAGUAUUCCAUUGUGUAUAUAUACCACAUUUUCUUUAUCAGCUCAUCUGUUGAUAGACAUUUAGGUUGAUUCCAUAUCUUGACUGUUGUGAAUAGUGCUGCAACAAACAUGAGAGGGGGUGCAGAUAUCUCUUUGACAUACCGAUUUCAUUUCCUUUGUAUCUAUACUGAGCAGUGGG
rnacentral:lncRNA from 1 species